UUGAAUUGUACAUAUUUCUCUCCUCAG
rnacentral:piRNA from 1 species